rnacentral:rRNA from 1 species
ACGAAGUCUUCGGACUGAGUGGCGGACGGGUGAGUAACACGUGAGAACCUGCCUUAAGGUCGGGGAUAACAGUUGGAAACGACUGCUAAUACCGGAUGUGCCUACGGGUGAAAGAUUUAUUGCCUAAAGAUGGGCUCGCGUCUGAUUAGCUAGUUGGAGUGGUAAUGGCACACCAAGGCGACGAUCAGUAGCUGGUCUGAGAGGAUGAUCAGCCACACUGGGACUGAGACACGGCCCAGACUCCUACGGGAGGCAGCAGUGGGGAAUUUUCCGCAAUGGGCGAAAGCCUGACGGAGCAAGACCGCGUGAGGGAGGAAGGCUCUUGGGUUGUAAACCUCUUUUGUCAGGGAAGAACACAAUGACGGUACCUGACGAAUCAGCAUCGGCUAACUCCGUGCCAGCAGCCGCGGUAAUACGGAGGAUGCAAGCGUUAUCCGGAAUUAUUGGGCGUAAAGCGUCCGCAGGUGGUUGUACAAGUCUGCUGUCAAAGCGCGGAGCUUAACUCCGUAAAGGCGGUGGAAACUGUGCGACUAGAGUUCGGUAGGGGUCGCGGGAAUUCCCAGUGUAGCGGUGAAAUGCGUAGAUAUUGGGAAGAACACCGGUGGCGAAAGCGCGCGACUGGACCGAGACUGACACUCAUGGACGAAAGCUAGGGGAGCGAAAGGGAUUAGAUACCCCUGUAGUC